UACGGAGGGGGCUAGCGUUGUUCGGAAUUACUGGGCGUAAAGCGCACGUAGGCGGCUUUGUAAGUUAGAGGUGAAGCCCAGGGCUUAACCCUGGAAUUGCCUUUAAGACUGCAUCGCUAGAAUUGUGGAGAGGUAAGUGGAAUUCCGAGUGUAGAGGUGAAAUGCGCAGAUAUCAGGAGGAACACCGGUGGCGAAGGCGGGUCUCUGGGCCGAAAUUGACGCUGAGGAGCGAAAGCGUGGGGAGCAAACAGG
rnacentral:rRNA from 1 species